rnacentral:rRNA from 1 species
AUGGAUCAACCGUCCGCGAGAGGGGAAGGGGAGAGAGGUGGUGAGAACUGGAGAAGUGAGAGGAAGGGUUCCAAGGCCCACGAGAGACGGAGAGAGUUAACCAAAGCCCAGAUGUUUCUUCUAGGCCCAACGAAACUGAAAAGAAGCCCACAGGAAAAGUCUGCUUCCGCUCCGAUCGGAUGCCGCGCCGUAGGGGAAAACAACCCCCGCCGCGCCGCCGCAUGCCGUCCGUGUGGCCGCUCCGCCGCCCGAAAAACCGCCGCGCCGCGCCGUCGUACAAGCCUCCACCCGUUCUACACGCCGCGUCGCGGGAGCCGGAGAACCUCAGCAUGA